CUUGGUCUGCCCAGACUAGCACAAGGAUUAAGCAUUUGAUAUUUUAGUUUUCAAUUUGGAGCCUUCAAUGAGACUGUCUACUGUGAAACUUGUCUUGUUAAGUGACUUCUUGGCAUGGGUGGGUACUAAAAAUGGGCAUAAAAUCAAUAUUCAUUCACAGGGAUGAAAAUUCAAGGUCACUAUUGACAUUAUUUACAAUAAAAAAAAAAUUAGCAUAUCACUGGUGGCAGAGUUUAAAUAGCUCUGAAAUACCCUGAAACCCAUCCUCUCUCGAAAGAAGAUCUCACCUUCCAGUCAUCUGUCUUAGGAGCCUAGAACCAUGAAGCUCUAUCUUGUAGCCUUUCUUAUGGCUCUUCUGGCUGUCCUGGCUGGAGCUGAUGAUUCAUCUGAAGAGCACCAUGGCAGAAGAUAUCCUCCAUAUAAUGGAUAUGAUGAUGAUUAUGGAAGAGAUUGACAUCCUCCAAAUGCUCAAAAUGCACCACAAGGAGGAUUUCAGUAAAUACAGGUUUGCCUGGAAUACUGACUCGAUCUCUCCACGUGAUGAAUCUACAAGUCUACAAAUUCAUCAAUGUCUCCAUCUGCCUACUUAGCAGCCUCUAUUAUUGAGCAUUAGAUGGUAGCUCCAAGCUUGUUAGAUUAACAUGAAUCGUUCUUCCAAGGCACUAAUGCUCUCCUUUACACUCUCUAUUUAAUAAAUUCAGCUCACAGCAUAUUGAAUGACUCUUG
ensembl:lncRNA